AUGUCCCUACGUACACCCCGGUUCCCAUGCGCCGUGCGCACCCACCUGACGACUAAUCGCUACGUUUUGUUGGCC
rnacentral:sRNA from 1 species